rnacentral:rRNA from 1 species
UACGUAGGGUGCGAGCGUUGUCCGGAAUUAUUGGGCGUAAAGAGCUUGUAGGCGGUUUGUCGCGUCUGCUGUGAAAAUCCGGGGCUCAACCCCGGACUUGCAGUGGGUACGGGCAGACUAGAGUGUGGUAGGGGAGACUGGAAUUCCUGGUGUAGCGGUGAAAUGCGCAGAUAUCAGGAGGAACACCGGUGGCGAAGGCGGUUCUCUGGGCCUUACCUGACGCUGAGGAGCGAAAGCAUGGGGAGCAAACAGG